rnacentral:piRNA from 10 species
GCGUUGGUGGUAUAGUGGUGAGCA